rnacentral:rRNA from 1 species
CCCGCGUCUGAUUAGCUAGUUGGUAAGGUAACGGCUUACCAAGGCGACGAUCAGUAGCCGACCUGAGAGGUUGAUCGGCCGCAUUGGGACUGAGACACGGCCCAGACUCCUACGGGAGGCAGCAGUGGGGAAUAUUGCGCAAUGGGGGAAACCCUGACGCAGCAACGCCGCGUGCAGGAAGAAGGUCUUCGGAUUGUAAACUGUUGUCGCGAGGGAAGAAGAAAGUGACGGUACCUCGUGAGAAAGUCACGGCUAACUAC